rnacentral:rRNA from 1 species
CCUUUGUACACACCGCCCGUCGCUACUACCGAUUGAAUGGCUUAGUGAGCCUUUGGGAUUGGCGGCCAGCACCGGCAACGGUAGCUGGCUGCCGAAAACUUAGGCAAACUUGGUCAUUUAGAGG